CACGAAUUAAGGCGAGCUAAUUAAUUGUAAAUAUUAGUUACUAAAUGUUGCAGAAUUGUAUAAAACUUUUAAUUAGGAGUGAUAGGCUUCUCACGUCUUAGGAUAACUUGAUGUUUAUGAAAUAUAUUAAGUAUAUAGUCAAUUAAAGAGUGCCAAGAUUCUUUAUAAGUACAAAUGUUAAUUAAUUCACUAUUCAAACUAUAACUAGUAGACGCCUUUUAAAGAAACAUAAAUCUUUUAAAGAUUGUAUAAUAUAAUAAACUAUUCUUAAUCCAAUAAAACAUAGAUAAUGUUAUUAUAAGUAGUAAAUCAAUUAUUUGAAAUGAACUCGGCAAUAUUUUCUCCAACUGUUUAUCAAAAACAUAGCUGGUAGAAUUUAAUUAUUAGUAUUUUCUGCUCCAUGAGAAUUUAAAUAGCCGCAGUACCCUGACUGUGCUAAGGUAGCAUAAUCAAUUGGCUUGUAAUUUAAGUCUGGUAUGAAUGAAAUAAUGAGAGAAAAGCUGUAUAGUAAAUAAAAAAUAAAAUUAUUUUGUAAGUGAAAAUACUUACUGAAAAUUAUUAGACGAGAAGACCCUAGAAAUUUUUAAAGAUUGUCAAACACUUUUUUGUUGGGGCAACAUUGUUAAAAGUAACUAACAGUAAAACACAAGAAAUUAUUUGAUAGAUUAAAUUACUCUAGGGAUAACAGCGUAAUGUAUGUACGUUUGCGACCUCGAUGUUGGAUUAGGAAAUAACAGCUUAGAA
rnacentral:rRNA from 1 species